CCACUAUGCUUAGCCCUAAACCUAGAUAGUUAGCUCAAACAAAACUAUCCGCCAGAGAACUACUAGCAACAGCUUAAAACUCAAAGGACUUGGCGGUGCUUUACACCCCUCU
rnacentral:rRNA from 1 species